AUAAUGGGUCAGCGACUUAUAUUCUGUAGCAAGGUUAACCGAAUAGGGGAGCCGAAGGGAAACCGAGUCUUAACUGGGCGUUAAGUUGCAGGGUAUAGACCCGAAACCCGGUGAUCUAGCCAUGGGCAGGUUGAAGGUUGGGUAACACUAACUGGAGGACCGAACCGACUAAUGUUGAAAAAUUAGCGGAUGACUUGUGGCUGGGGGUGAAAGGCCAAUCAAACCGGGAGAUAGCUGGUUCUCCCCGAAAGCUAUUUAGGUAGCGCCUCGUGAAUUCAUCUCCGGGGGUAGAGCACUGUUUCGGCAAGGGGGUCAUCCCGACUUACCAACCCGAUGCAAACUGCGAAUACCGGAGAAUGUUAUCACGGGAGACACACGGCGGGUGCUAACGUCCGUCGUGAAGAGGGAAACAACCCAGACCGCCAGCUAAGGUCCCAAAGUCAUGGUUAAGUGGGAAACGAUGUGGGAAGGCCCAGACAGCCAGGAUGUUGGCUUAGAAGCAGCCAUCAUUUAAAGAAAGCGUAAUAGCUCACUGGUCGAGUCGGCCUGCGCGGAAGAUGUAACGGGGCUAAACCAUGCACCGAAGCUGCGGCAGCGACGCUGAUGCGUUGUUGGGUAGGGGAGCGUUCUGUAAGCCUGCGAAGGUGUGCUGUGAGGCAUGCUGGAGGUAUCAGAAGUGCGAAUGCUGACAUAAGUAACGAUAAAGCGGGUGAAAAGCCCGCUCGCCGGAAGACCAAGGGUUCCUGUCCAACGUUAAUCGGGGCAGGGUGAGUCGACCCCUAAGGCGAGGCCGAAAGGCGUAGUCGAUGGGAAACAGGUUAAUAUUCCUGUACUUGGUGUUACUGCGAAGGGGGGACGGAGAAGGCUAUGUUGGCCGGGCGACGGUUGUCCCGGUUUAAGCGUGUAGGCUGGUUUUCCAGGCAAAUCCGGAAAAUCAAGGCUGAGGCGUGAUGACGAGGCACUACGGUGCUGAAGCAACAAAUGCCCUGCUUCCAGGAAAAGCCUCUAAGCAUCAGGUAACAUCAAAUCGUACCCCAAACCGACACAGGUGGUCAGGUAGAGAAUACCAAGGCGCUUGAGAGAACUCGGGUGAAGGAACUAGGCAAAAUGGUGCCGUAACUUCGGGAGAAGGCACGCUGAUAUGUAGGUGAAGCGACUUGCUCGUGGAGCUGAAAUCAGUCGAAGAUACCAGCUGGCUGCAACUGUUUAUUAAAAACACAGCACUGUGCAAACACGAAAGUGGACGUAUACGGUGUGACGCCUGCCCGGUGCCGGAAGGUUAAUUGAUGGGGUCAGCGCAAGCGAAGCUCUU
rnacentral:rRNA from 1 species